GGGGAUGUGGCUCAGGGGUAGAGCGCUUGCCUGACAUUCAUGAGGCCCUGGGUUCCAUCCCCA
rnacentral:tRNA from 1 species